UCAUUUAGUUAUGAAUGGAUUACUGUACGUUCCCAAAGGUCAGCGGCCCCUCAAACCUUCACCUACAAAAUGUCACUCAAAGAAACAAAACUAAAAAGAGAAAAUUACUUCAAAGAGACACAAAACGACUACAAAGAGACACAAAACGACCAUAGAGACACAAAACGACUACAAAGAGACACAAAACGACUUCAAAGAGACACAAAGCGACUACGAAGAGACACAAAAUGACCAUAGAGAAACACAAAACGACUACAAAGAGACACAAAACGACUACAAAGAGACACAAAACGACUACAAAGACACAAAACGACUACAAAGAGACACAAAACGACUACAAAGACACAAAACGACUACAAAGAGACACAAAACGACUACAAAGACACAAAACGACUACAAAGAGACACAAAACGACUACAAAGACACAAAACGACUACAAAGAGACACAAAACGACUACAAAGAGACACAAAGUGACUACAAAGAGACACAAAGUGACUACAAAGAGACACAAAGUGACUACAGAGAGACACAAAAAGACUACAGAGAGACACGGUAGACAUCAUGUUUGACUCUUUGUUUCCAGAUUUUCAAUAAACAUUAAAUUAGAACAGCAACGAUUUCUUGAUCAAUUAGAGAAAUAAUACAUAUCC
rnacentral:lncRNA from 1 species